ensembl:lncRNA
AAUAGUUAUUUAAUAUCUGCUAAAUGUAAGACAUUGCUGUAGAUGCUGUGAGUAUACAGAGAUGAAAAACAUUGUUACUGCUUUCAUGAGCUUAUGGUCUAGGGCGAAAGAGAAGACAUACCUACAGAAAUCAGAAAAAGGGAAUAUUACAAAAUCAUGUAUGAUGGGUGCAAAUGAUUGGGAUACAUGAGGCUUAGGAGUCCAAAAGUAGGAAAGAUUGCCCUCUGCUCAGGUGAUUGUUCAAAAAAUAUUUAUUGAGAAUUACUGAAUCUAUAAUUACUGAGUCUAUAAUCAAGGGAGCAGUCACUGAGGAGAGAGGACUUCAUUUAAUACAAGGAGAUGAAGUAGAAUUUGGAAAAGAGAAGGGAAGAUAUUUUACAUGGAAGAAAUAGAAUACAUGCCCAGAGGCAGGAGUAAGCAUGAUAUCCAGUGGGCAAUGAGGUAAUUGAUCUGGCUAGAUCAUAAGGAAUGUAUAAGGAGAAGAAUGGGAAUCUAUAACUGUGACUAUAAUUCAAGCCUCUAGAUUCCCAUUUCAAAUGAUCUAUCCACUAAGGCUUGCAAAUUAAAGCACAGAGGCUGGAAUUGAGACAUUAAACAGAAAUGGGAAAGGAUCUCAAAAGAUAAAAUCCCUUCCCCUUUCCAUGUGUUCCUCUCUCAUAAACCAGCAUUAAAAAGCCACUAUGAGAACUGGGUUCCUACCUCAACCCUUCUUUGUACUGUUCCCAGGUUUCUCUCCCUCAGGGAGUAGAUCCUUAAUACCAGCCAUGAGGGUGCUCCAGUAUUUAGUUGGCUCUGGUAUUUCAAAGUUCUGCGCUAGAUUCUCUAGCACCAAUGUCCUGAUGGAGGACUUUUGUUAUUGGAGAUUAGUGUUAUCAAAACAAGGAAAAUACAAUCUGGCAAAAUUAUAGGAAAUACCCAUAAGAACCUAGAAAAAAGGUGGAAAAAAAUGGUCUGAUCUGGUCGAAAUGGACCCCACAGAGUCCAUUGAGAGGAAAACCUCUCAAUAAGUUAGUUAUAGGGUAGUAAAAUGACCCAUGAAUUAGCAAGACAAAGUUAAAUCAUGUCAUUUAUCCUCUGUUUAAGAAGAUAAAGAUAUGGUAGUACAUUUUUGAGAAUUUUUUCUCUGAAAUGGUCAAAAUAAGGAAAAAAGGUUUUGUGCUUAGAGAAUAAAUUUCAUUUACACAUGAAAUCCAUUUCUAUAUAAAAUUAGUUAAUUUGCCAAGGACGCUCUCAGGACUGUAUAUAUAAACUAAUUUUAACUCGCACUCUUCUGAGAGUCAGCCCAUAGAAAUGUGAGGGAUUUUAGUUGUCCUUUUGCCAAGAGGAGUAUAUUGUAUCUACUCAUACUUUUUUCAGGGAAAGAUUCUGCACUAACAAAGUGCUGGUGAUACCAGGACAUCUUCCCUCUUUCUCUUUCUCCAACUCUGCUCCCAAUGCUAACCCCAAACUUGUGCUGGGCUUGAAGAGGAAGAAGCAAUUAACAUCCAGCUGGCUUCUGAGACUCCUCUUAUCUGAGGAAUGCUUAUUAAUUGAGUAAUAGCAACCCCUUAUAUUUAUGUUAUAGCCUUUUACAUUUUCAGUAUCUCAUCUGAUCAUCACAGUACCCAGUCAGGUGGAAAAGGUAUGCAUUAUUUUCAUUUUGUAGGCAGAGUCCCAGGAUCAUAGAUUGUAAGAUUUGGAAGGGACCUUUGAGGUGAAGUAUAACCUCUUCCUCCAGGACUAAUGCCAUUGUCUUCAUAGUCCAAUGUUCUCUCCAUUAUAUCAUGCUAGUUCCCUACAUUGUCACUUGAGACUACCAUAGCCCCAUUUGCUCUGCCAAGACCAUGCACUGGGUGUCAGAGGGCUCAGGCUCAUUUACUGGAUGGAUUAAUGUGUUUUGUCCUUGGGGAAGCGUUCAGGUAGAAUUUAUUUUAAACAAAGUCAAUACCCAAGGCAAAUAAUAAUAAUAAUAAUACCAGUAAUAAUAUUUGGUAUUGAUGAUAGCACUUUAAUCCUCUUCAUGGCAUUCAAUUGAUCCUCAUGAUGUUCUUGUGAUAUAAGAAGAGCCAUCCUCAUUUUACAGAGGGGGAAACUGAGGCACAAAGAGAUCAAAUGUGCAAGUUCACAUUCCUGGAUUUGAAACCUAAGAGAAUAGAGAUCAUCUGUUUCCUAGUGCGGUACUCAUACCAAUACCUAAUGAGAACUGAGACUGAUGAACCAAAGAAAAAUUUGUCAUCAGUAGUAGAUUGGGAUAGAACUGUGCUGUUAAAUGCAGAGUGACUUUCAGUAACUUAGGGUUGAGAGAAGUUUCAAGGCAGUGGGGAGGGUAUCCCACUUAGGUUUGUUUGCCUCAGGGGCAGCAGCUCUUUUGAGCAGGGUAUCUAGGUUUGGGUUCAGCUUCUGCUUUUAGAAGCUACCCUAAGUCUGCUGUGAUCCCAAGAAUUCCAUGUAUUUGAGAAAACAACCAGGGCCACUAGCACCAUGAAGUGAGGCAGGGGCAGCACCUGGAAGGGUCCAGCAAUCUCUCCAGCCUUUUCUCAGCUUGGGGACCUCCUAAAGUAGGAAUGUGGUCAGGCUGAGCCAUCACCUUCUCACAGAACAGCCCCAAUCUCAGGACCCGUGACCCUUGUAGUGGGGAGAUUCAUAGGAGAAAGAAACCUCCUUCCCAGCUAGUUCUCUCAGCCUCAGGGAGGCUUGCUGCCACAGUGGUCUCCACCAUGAGGUAGGAUACUAAAGACGGUUUGUUCGUGUGUAAGGCUUCUUGUUUCUGGCUACUUCUGGGAAAAGACAACUUUGCCUGGGAUGGUUUCGACAGGCAUCAGAGCUAGCUCAAUAAGGUGAACUCUGUUGCAUGGUAUGGUUCCCUUCCUGGACUUGUCUGAAUGUUCCUUUAGAAAGCCAUAACUCUUCUUAAAAACCUUUUUUUGGUUGAACUGUGAUAUACAUGUGUACAUAUAAAUAUACAUAUUUUAAAGAAAUCUGUCAGUUAAUCUCAGUGACUGUCAAAAAUGGGUUGUUCUGUUGUAUGGUUUCAAGUUGAUGCAAAAAACAAAACAAAAUAAAAUGAAACCCUGAAAAAACAUGUAAGAAAUGUUGGGUGAACAAAAAUUCCAGAGGAAAUAUCUGGAACCUUUUUGUUUCUUGUCUUAUCCGGUGGUAAAUAUUCUAUGUCGUUCCCUCAUCUCCUGAGUAUUUAGCCUCUGAGUCCCAGAAGGAUGGGUAUCUUUAUAUCUGCUCCUGCCAGAGCGGGCUCUUUGUGGCAGCAGAAGUGAGGUUGUCACAGUGCUGGGCCCUGUGGAUUCUUGCAAUCUGUUUGUCCCCAGUUCUUUCCAUACUCCCCAAAUAAGAGACCUUUCUUACUGAAGAGGAAAAAUGAAACUUGGGGAUAUUUCCUUCAAUGGAAAAUAGUGCUCCUAUGAUGUGGAAGAAUUGGAUCUGUUUAUGGACUCUGGAUUUUUGCUAAGAAUAAACCUCUCUUUAUUUCUUAGUGUUUUUUAGGGGUAAGGGAAAACUGGAGGAGAGAGUUUAUCUCAAUUAAAGGGGGAAGGAAAGUCAAUGUGUCUUUUAUUUUCCUGGAACCAGUUUGCAAAAAUUUUCCUGUGUAAUACUAAUUCAGAGGUGUGAACCUGAGGCCUGGUGCUGCUAAAGCCAUGCCUAAAACUGUAAUCAGGGUAUUUUUGCUUCUGUCACUGUGUCUGAAAGGCCAUUAAUUCUACCUAAUAAACUGAAUCCC